rnacentral:ribozyme from 1 species
UGCCCAGCAACUCCUAUCCCUAGCUCCGCGUGGCACCGGCCGGACUGCGAGCAACCUUAGGGAAGAUCGGAUAACUAAUCCCGGUGGGAACUUAGGUCGUAAACUGACAGGGAAGG